AGGGAAGAGCACAGGCCUAUGAGCAGUCAGACAAGACACCCUCAGCUCCCUUCCCUGCUGGGGAGAACAAGGCACCUGAAUGCUCAGAGGGGGGAAAUGGUAAAGCAAGGCUCCCUGCCCUCUGCAGGGGAAAAAGACAUACCUCCCUAAGGAAUAUUUUCAAUUGGCUUGGAGGAAUAAUUGCUGUACUUAGAGAGACCUCAGAAGCAAGGAGUAGCUGGAUGCAGGAUGCAUUCAGGCUGCCACUUCAGACAGGCUUGGAGGUCUCCCAUUUACUACCCCAUCUCCAAAAGUGGAUAUCUCAGUUGUGCUACCUGGCCUGCGCUACUCCUCAUGAGGGAGGGCUACCCAGGGACAGCUUGUCAGUGCCUAAGAACAAUCAGAAGCCUGGAGCUGCUUCCACAGGUAUUCCUUGUACUGCUCUGUUCCUCCUCCCUUCCCCUGCCAGGCCCCUGCAGCUGGCUGAGCAAGCUAAAAAAAUACUUUUAAAUCAAAGUCUAUUUCAUAUCUUACCUUUUUUACUCAAAGACCUAUGUACCCAGAGGUGUGCCUGAGAUUCAGAGGGGCUAAAGAAACAUAUUUGAGAGCCUGACAGUACUGGAAGCGCUGAUGGCAACUACAUGAAGAAAAACAGCAUAUAUACAUAGCCUACUUGUUAUUCUUGAUCACGGCAGAGAUACAGAAUGAGCAUGAGAGGCUUCUGAUGUUGAAGGGAAGGAAUAUCAUCACUGAGUGACUGAUAAGACAAACCAGUGUCUAGGAACCAAAUCCUCACCUUGCAACUCCUUCACCGCCAGAUCUGCAAAGGAAACACAGAGAUGGUCCCAUAAAGCACCACGCAGACAUACUGUGGAAAGUGCUCAGCUCCACUGUCUCAGAGCCCUUUGACCUUCCUUUCUCCAACCUCCAACACAAAGCUACCUCACUGCAACAAACAAGGUGCAAGACCAGAAUCGUGAACUAAGUCUGAUCAGAAGAAAUGCAGAAAAUAGCAGACAAACAUUCAUCCAGCAGCUGAUCCAAGAAUAAAGAGCAUUUUCAGUAUUUCAAAGCCAAACAUACAAGCCCAUCAUACCUUGGAAGUACACAGAGAAAUGGAAUGGGAAGGUGCAGCCCAGUAGCAUUAACAGAUCAUGCAGACAAGAUCUGUAAAAUAAAGUUGGAAGCCACCAAAAUUACCUUCUUCAUCAAGAUCUCUCUCAGAUGCUGUGGGUUUGAAUAAAACUUUUCUGGGCUUUUUGGA